AUUGAACGCUGGCGGCAGGCUUAACACAUGCAAGUCGAGCGGGGGAAGGUAGCUUGCUACUGGACCUAGCGGCGGACGGGUGAGUAAUGCUUAGGAAUCUGCCUAUUAGUGGGGGACAACAUAUCGAAAGGGAUGCUAAUACCGCAUACGUCCUACGGGAGAAAGCAGGGGAUCUUCGGAACUCGCGCUAACAUAUGAGCCUAAGUCGGAUUAGCUAGUUGGUGGGGUAAAGGCCUAACAAGGCGACGAUCUGUAGCGGGUCUGAGAGGAUGAUCCGCCACACUGGGACUGAGACACGGCCCAGACUCCUACGGGAGGCAGCAGUGGGGAAUAUUGGACAAUGGGGGGAACCCUGAUCCAGCCAUGCCGCGUGUGUGAAGAAGGCCUUAUGGUUGUAAGGCACUUUAAGCGAGGAGGAGGCUACUCUAGUUAAUACCUAGGGAUAGUGGACGUUACUCGCAGAAUAAGCACCGGCUAACUCUGUGCCAGCAGCCGCCGUAA
rnacentral:rRNA from 1 species